rnacentral:rRNA from 1 species
ACUCCUGCGGGAGGCAGCAGUGGGGAAUAUUGGACAAUGGGCGCAAGCCUGAUCCAGCCAUGCCGCGUGAGUGAUGAAGGCCCUAGGGUUGUAAAGCUCUUUCACCGGUGAAGAUAAUGACGGUAACCGGAGAAGAAGCCUCGGCUAACUUCGUGCCAGCAGCCGCGGUAAUACGAAGGGGGCUAGCGUUGUUCGGAUUUACUGGGCGUAAAGCGCACGUAGGCGGACUAUUAAGUCAGGGGUGAAAUCCCGGGGCUCAACCCCGGAACUGCCUUUGAUACUGGUAGUCUUGAGUUCGAGAGAGGUGAGUGGAAUUCCGAGUGUAGAGGUGAAAUUCGUAGAUAUUCGGAGGAACACCAGUGGCGAAGGCGGCUCACUGGCUCGAUACUGACGCUGAGGUGCGAAAGCGUGGGGAGCAAACAGGAUUAGAAACCCGUGUAGUCCCAUGAU